rnacentral:snRNA from 1 species
AUACUUCCCUAGCACAGGGGUUACCGUGAUCAUCAAGGCGGUUCCCCUAGGGUGAGACCCGGUCAUUGCACAUCUGUGCACUAUGGGCCAGAAAUCAAAAUUUCGCGACAAAAGUCAAAAAAGUUGUUUUUCUAAGAUCAAUCAAUUUUCAUAUUUGUAUGAUUGUUUGGGCUAUAUUUGAUUAUAUACCGAC